ensembl:lncRNA
AUGGAGAAGCAGAUCUGUGACCUGGUGGAGAACCAGGCCCAGCUGAGAAAGCGGACAGCCAUGCUGGAAACAUCCCUGGCUGAUGCUUACAAGACCGGGGCCACGUGCACCCAGGACGCGAUCUUCCCAGGCGUCCUUCACUCCGGCGCCAGGACACCACAGACCCUGAGUGCAUCAGCAGCAGAAGACGCGAGCCAAGCCCCAGGACUUACACCAGCUUCAUUCUGGAUCCAGCCCUUACAAAGACCUGAGAUGACCGAAAACCUGAGAAAAGAUGAUGCCGACCCCCCAGAGGACCUCACAUGAUGCCAACCCUCAGACAACAUAAACAACUUCCAAAUCAUGCAUUACAUGACAUUAACUUACUAAACUAAAUUUUACAUAUUGAUAUGUCAGUAUCAUAUUUGGUCAUGGUGAAAAUGGGUCAUCAGAGAAACACUUAUGAAUUUUUCACUGUUUUGGUCAAUUAUAUUGGAACAUUCAAAACUGAAACAAAAAUGACUGAAAAAAAAAUGGAUAAAUAUUUUCAGUCGCCGAAAUUUCUGUUCAACACUAUUUGUGACCCUGGAGCACAAAACCAGUCUUAAGUGUCAAUUUUUGAAAAAAAAGUAGUGUAUGGUUUAUUAGGAUCGGACAAUAUUUGACCGAGAUACAACUAUUUAAAAAUCUGGAAUCUGAGGGUGCAAAAAAAUACAGAGAAAUCCGCCUUUGAAGAUGUCCAAAUGAUGUUCUUAGCAAUGCAUAUAUUUACAGUAUGAAAUUUAUGACCGAUCUUCAUGGAACAUGAUCUUUACUUAAUAUCCUGAUGAUUUUUGGCAUAAAAGAAAAAUCGAUAAUUUUGACCCAUACAAGGGUCUUUUUUUUUUUUUUCUUUUUUUUUUGCCUAUUGCUAAAAAUAUACCCCAGUGACUUAAGACUGGUUUUGUGCUCCAGGGUCACAUUUAAUAUAACAUUUUCAGCUAAUAUUACAUUGUGUUACACAAAUAAAACCCCUACUAAUUAAGGCUCA